GGGAAGCCUCAACGAGGUGGCCAGGGCAAGCUGGGCCUCCGAGGAGAGGCUUCCACCGGCCCAGGCUCUGGCAACAGGCCGAAAUCAGGCCUCUUCUGUGUCACAUGGAGGGACGCCAGCCGCCUCGGCACCCACCAACUGAUGAGAUCUCUGCUCCGGGCUGAGCUCUGAGGACCCUGCAGGAGGCCCAAGGAUGCCGGGGCAGCCCACUGGACGGGCGGACACAGGCUGCCCAUGGCUUCAGGCUCCUGGAACCGACAGCCCCCCUCGGUGAACUACUGGGUGGCUCAGCAGUCCAGAACAGAGUGGCCCUAGUGAAUGGCAGUUAUGUCCCUACGUCUAGCAGGCCCCGGACAUGGGAACCUCGGACAUGGGAACCUCGGUCUGGUGCCAGACAGCCCCUGGCAGAAAGAAUGCAAAGUGUGCCCCCAUCAUAAGAAGGGGAGCAGUGCAGACCACCCCAGCAAGUUCCCAGGCUCAGGCCCCCCCCACCGCAUCGCGGGAGAGACCUGGGCCCAGGAGCACUCCAGCGCGGCCCUCCGACCUCAUCCCUCAGGCCGGCAUCCAGUGCUUCCUGCCACCGCGUCCCAGUUGAGCACUGAGCUAUUUUUAUGUGAUUUUAAAAUAAAACAUAUCGGGGAGGAGAGGAAACCAUGUGCUGCUCUGGUGUCAGAGUCGGCCCAGACCAAAGGCUCCGGCGGCUCCGAGGCCCAGGCGGCAGGAGGCCUGCAGUCCAGGGCCAGGUUCAAAUCCAGACCUCCCUGGCUGGCUUCCUGGUCUGCCCCAUGGGGACAACAGAGAUGGUGUCUCCUCAUGGGUCAUUAAGAUUAAGUGAAACAGGCCAAGAGAAAGGACUUUGGAUGUUCCCACCAUAAAAAAAAAAAAAAGGACCUAUGUUUGAGGAGAUAGGAGUGUUUGCCCAGACUUGAACGUUGCCCAAUGUAUGGAAAUAUCCCGUGGUGCCCCAUAAAUCACGUGGUGCCCCAUAAUCAUGCACAAUUUUGGGCUGGGGAUAGCUCAGUGGUAGAGUGUGUUAAGCAUGCAAGGCUCUGGGUUGGACCCUCUGUACCACAAAGAAAGAAAGACAGAACAAUUUUGAUAUAUUUGUUAAAAAAUUUUUCUCUGCUACAAGAAAGAUUAAAUGGUACACAUUGUGAGUACUGAGCACGGCAACUGGCACAGAAUAAACGCUAGCAAAUGA